GCCGGGGUGGCCGAGCGGCCCAAGGCGCGGGACUGGAGAUGUAUACGAGAUAUCCCGUCCCCGUUCAGGGGGCGUGGGUUCAAAUCCCACCCCCGGCG
rnacentral:tRNA from 1 species